GCGGAAGUAGUUCAGCGGUAGAACACCACCUUGCCAAGGUGGGGGUCGCGGGUUCGAAUCCCGUCUUCCGCUCCA
rnacentral:tRNA from 13 species